GGAGUUAGCCGGUGCUUCUUCUGCGAGUAACGUCACAGAUGUAAGGUAUUAACUUACACCCUUUCCUCCUCGCUGAAAGUGCUUUACAACCCGAAGGCCUUCUUCACACACGCGGCAUGGCUGCAUCAGGGUUUCCCCCAUUGUGCAAUAUUCCCCACUGCUGCCUCCCGUAGGAGUCUGGGCCGUGUCUCAGUCCCAGUGUGGCUGAUCAUCCUCUCAGACCAGCUAGGGAUCGUCGCCUAGGUGAGCCUUUACCUCACCUACUAGCUAAUCCCACCUGGGCUUAUCCAUCAGCGCAAGGCCCGAAGGUCCCCUGCUUUCCCCCGUAGGGCGUAUGCGGUAUUAGCAGUCGUUUCCAACUGUUAUCCCCACAAAUGGGCAAAUUCCCAGGCAUUACUCACCCGUCCGCCGCUCGUCAUCUUCAAAGCAAGCUUUUGAAAUGUUACCGCUCGACUUGCAUGUGUUAGGCCUGCCGCCAGCGUUCAAUCUGAGCCAGAAUCGAACCCUGA
rnacentral:rRNA from 1 species